rnacentral:rRNA from 1 species
GAGUUUGAUCCUGGCUCAGGAUUAACGCUAGCGGCAGGCAUAAUACAUGCAAGUUGAACGAGAUUAGUUUUAGCAAUAGAACUAGUUUAGUGGCGCACGGGUGCGUAACGCGUAUGCAACCUACCUUAAACAGGGGAAUAGCCUCUCGAAAGAGAGAUUAAUACCGCAUAACAUAUAUUUAGAGCAUUCUAGAUAUAUCAAACCUACGGGGGUUUAAGAUGGGCAUGCGUGACAUUAGCUAGUUGGUGAGGUAACGGCUCACCAAGGCAACGAUGUCUAGGGGGUCUGAGAGGAUGUCCCCCCACACUGGUACUGAGACACGGACCAGACUCCUACGGGAGGCAGCAGUAGGGAAUAUUGGUCAAUGGAGGCAACUCUGAACCAGCCAUGCCGCGUGCAGGACUAAGGCCCUAUGGGUCGUAAACUGCUUUUGAAUGGGAAGAAAUGUAUCUACGUGUAGAUAUUUGACGGUACCAUUAGAAUAAGGAUCGGCUAACUUCGUGCCAGCAGCCGCGGUAAUACGAAGGAUCCAAGCGUUGUCCGGAUUUACUGGGUUUAAAGGGUGCGUAGGCGGACUCAUAAGUCAGUGGUGAAAGCCUUCAGCUUAACUGAAGAACUGCCAUUGAAACUGUGAGUCUCGAGUUCGGUUGAGGUCAUUGGAAUGUAACAUGUAGCGGUGAAAUGCAU